UCCAGAUAGGUUUGGUAAAGCUGGGGGUUUAAGAAAAAUAUUUGCAUUUUCCUACUGACUGCAGUCUCCUAUUGGAAGUUGGAGCACAGCAUGGACCUCUUCUUCUAGAGCCGGCUGGCCUGUCCGCAGACCUCCGGUGCUCACUCUCCAGCUGUCUCACUCUCAGCCUGCGAUCCUCUCAGGCGCUCAGAACGCAGCUUCCCAGAGCUUUCCCCACAUAGCAGUGUGGUGGCCAAAGGAACAUCAUCAGCAUCCGAUGAAGAAAGACAGUCUUGGUCUCCACCAAAGAACUCAUGGAUCAGAAACUCUGGGGUCUCAGGAAGCCAUUAAAUCGCCCAAACUGUGGUCGAACUUGAAAUUCUCCUGGCUGGGUCUCCGCAGGCUGGGGUUACAGACUGCACCACCAGGCCCAGCUAAACGUACAUUCUUUAGAAGAAACUGGUAACGUGAAUUCAGUAAAUAACAAUAUAAUAUACAAUUUUACCAACUAAUUUUAAAAUGGUAGCGCCUUUUGGAGGAGGUAAAAACAAAUUUUAAGCAUAUUAUUCUAUGAAGAAUGCAAAUGAAAAACGGUAAGGGGAGCAGGGUUUCGCUAAAAAUAGAAAAGCUGUAGAAGAGACUUGAGAUAAAAAGGAAGACGCAGACGGAAAAGACAAAGCGAGGAAUGAAAACAGGCAGCGCGUAACAGACGCGGAAGUUAAGGAAGAAGGCAGGAUGCCUGAAGCUUCCUCCAGGGCGGGCCUUCAGAUCGGGAGACGGCGGAGAACAGACCGCGAGCUGGGCGGAGCCGCUCCCCCGAGUCACAAAACCCGGCCAGGUGGAAGGGCGGCCAAGGGAGGUGGACCCAGCGACCCACGAGCAGCGCGGACCAGGUGCGUGUACCGCAGAACUUCCGAGAUGGUGAAAGAUCGUUUUAAUCAGUCGUGAAACUAAGUCAUGUAGAAGGGCGGGCAGCUUUUCUGUCCAUCUCUUAUUGGUGAAGAAAACCACAGACACCACCAAAGUGGAGCGUGGAAGUGUAGGCUGUAUUCACACACUUUUUUUUUUUUUUGUACCAGGGAUUGGACUCCGGUCCUUGAGCUUGUGAGGCAGGUGGCAGAACACAAAAAGGUCUCUUUAGUGGAGAAAGGAGAGGUUAAGGAGAAGCAGGGAGGGGGACAGAGAAAGAAGGAGAGAACAGAGACCAAAUCCAAAGGCUGAGCUGGCUGUGGGAAAGGUAAUCUUCAUUACAGGUAAAUGCAGCCAUGGUUCCAAUCUCUAUGCAGUUUUUAACGUCCGAGUAAAUCUAUAUGUAGCUAGGACUUUCGUUACCUGAAUGAUUUUUCAUUGAGACAAUAUGUAGACAAUCCCAAUAAUUCAAGAACUAAAGAAAUAUCCCACACGUGACCCGAUUUUAUAAAAUCUAGGUGUUGCCUUCAGAAUGAGAAGAUGUUUCAGUAUGAAUCACUGACUGGGGAAAAGUCACCAUGAGCAGCGGCGAUUCCGUUCUCUGACACGUGAAGAUAAGCCUAGAAUCACCUGGCAUUAGCAGUCACACAAAGGGGUAUAAAUGUGUUGACGGCUAAAGGAUUUUAAAUGUUUUGUAAUUAACUUAGAAAACAGAGCUGAGAGGAAAUGAGGUGAAAAAGCUUGUCACAAUAGUUUUGCUAAGGUUGGCAAAGAAAAAAGCUAUUAAAGCUUUGAAG